rnacentral:rRNA from 1 species
UACGUAGGCAGCAAGCGUUGUUCGGAGUUACUGGGCGUAAAGGGUGUGUAGGCGGUUGUUUAAGUUUGGUGUGAAAUCUCCCGGCUCAACUGGGAGGGUGCGCCGAAUACUGAAUGACUAGAGUGCGGGAGAGGAAAGUGGAAUUCCUGGUGUAGCGGUGAAAUGCGUAGAUAUCAGGAGGAACACCGGUGGUGUAGACGGCUUUCUGGGACCGUAACUGACGC